rnacentral:rRNA from 1 species
UACGAAGGGGGGCUAGCGUUGUUCGGAAUUACUGGGCGUAAAGCGCACGUAGGCGGACUACUAAGUCAGGGGGUGAAAAUCCCCGGGGGCUCAACCCCCGGAACUGCCUUUGAUACUGAUAGUCUCGAGUCCGGAAGAGGUGAGUGGAAUUCCGAGUGUAGAGGUGAAAUUCGUAGAUAUUCGGAGGAACACCAGUGGCGAAGGCGGCUCACUGGUCCGGUACUGACGCUGAGGUGCGAAAGCGUGGGGAGCAAACAGGG